CACCGAGAAAGGAAGUGAGAUACGUUACUACAUGUACAUGAAAGGUGCUAGAUUCACAGAGGAUCGUGUAGUACAUGUAAGGUGCUAGUUUUACAAAGGAUCGUUAUCGAUACAAAUACAGUGUAAUUAAUUUAAAACAAAUGCACUUUAUAAUGAACUACUUAACAAACUAAUAUAUAGGUCAUUGUUCAAAGUUCUUUCCAUGUUGUCAAACUUUUGUUUGUUUUUUUUCCUUCAAUUUACAAUAUUCUGUUGAUUUGAAGCAGAAAAGUAAAAAUCGUAAAAUUUUCAUUUUUAUAUCCUUUAGGCCUCAACCUCACAGGAAAGAAUCCUUCCUGACAGUAAAUGUGAUACUGAUUCAAGCGGAUCAUUUGCAAAUACUUCGAGGACAUCCAAGGAAGAAGUGAGUGAGAGCAGUGCAGGACAAUGCCCACCAAGGUUUUUCGAAAGCGGGGAAAAGGCAAGAAAAUGGAAUCCAGAUUCGCUCGAAGGAUAUGUGUUCUACGACGGACACCAUUACAGGUAAACAAAACCCUUAAGUAAGC